UUUUUGUUCAAACUUCUAUCGUUAGCGCAAGGCCUUAGCUUCCAGAAAUUCCUUGGGGGAGGGGAAGGAAAUCAAAAAGACGUUUGAAAAUCCCUUACUCGUGGUCAUGCCAGAUAACAAUCUAAAACAGAAAAUAGAGAAGCGUACUGUUACCAUCAUACCUUAAAGGUAAACAUAAAGUCUUUCAUCUGAAAGGGAUUGAUCUUCUAUCCCCGCAUCAAUGCUAUUCAAGUGAAAACAGGAAAGAUAAUUUUGCUUGAUAUAUGAAGAAAAUCCAGUAUCAAAAGCUUAAGCUUGUUUAAUUGAGUAAGUAUAAUGUUUAGGUCACCCAUCCAAAUACUAACCCUCCCUAACCGGGCUUGACUCCCUGUCCUGGAAGACCAAGUUUUU